GACAGAGGGUGCAAACGUUGUUCGGAAUUACUGGGCGUAAAGCGCGUGUAGGCGGCCCUGCAAGUCGGAUGUGAAAUCCCACGGCUCAACCGUGGAAGUGCAUUCGAAACUGCAGGGCUAGAGUCCUGAAGAGGAAGGUGGAAUGCUUGGUGUAGAGGUGAAAUUCGUAGAUAUCAAGCGGAACACCGGUGGCGAAGGCGGCCUUCUGGACAGUGACUGACGCUGAGACGCGAAAGCGUGGGGAGCAAACAGG
rnacentral:rRNA from 1 species